rnacentral:rRNA from 1 species
GACAGAGGAUGCAAGCGUUAUCCGGAAUGAUUGGGCGUAAAGCGUCUGUAGGUGGUUUAUUAAGUCUACUGUUAAAGAUCAGGGCUUAACCCUGAGCAGGCAAUAGAAACUAAUAAGCUAGAGUACGGUAGGGGCAGAGGGAAUUCCCGGUGUAGCGGUGAAAUGCGUAGAGAUCGGGAAGAACACCAACGGCGAAAGCACUCUGCUGGGCCGAGACUGACACUGAGAGACGAAAGCUAGGGGAGCAAAUGGG